UUUCUUUGUAGCCUUUUCAAAUUUAUUUUCAAGAUCUUUCCCUCGUAUGGGUGUUUGUCGUAGAAAUCUACCAAAUCGGCGCCGGAAAGCUCAAGCAGAUAAGCCAGUUCUUCACCAAAGAGACCUUUAGUCUCCUCCUCUUUUUCUCUACCCUUAUCCCUGAAAUUCGUCAAUUUCCAGAGAUUUUACCCCUCUUUCCAAGUUAUGGGCUUCAGUUCGCUAUAUGCAAUUUAUUUUGCCUGCCAAUUUCUGCCCAAAAUUUCAAGGUCUAAUCCCAGCACACAUUGAACGCCAUGCUAGUCCAUUUAUCUCAGAAUAAACCGGCCGUCAGUUGGCUAAUUAUGAUUGUGAAUCUGCUUUGAGUUACUCGGAUGAGGACUUGGAUGUAUUUAUGUGCUGUUUAUUUAGUUUGAUGGUGCAUAUACUGCAUUCUGAGUAAAGAAAUUAGCUUAUUUCAGCGUCAUUUAGUGUCUAGUUUUCCAUUUGUUUUUGUUGUGUUUCUAAAUUCCAUUGCUAGUUAUUCCUUAACCUUUCAAAUUCACCACUUAGAUAUUUAAAAAUCAGUGGGAAUAGAGGUUUAUUGAGCGUAUCAUGCAAUGCAUAAUCUUUAAUAGGUAUUCAAAUGUGCUAGGCAAGUGUUGAAGUAAAGAAGAAUAAGAAGAAGAAUUGAAAUC